UUUUUCGAACUUUCACCAACU
rnacentral:piRNA from 1 species